rnacentral:lncRNA from 10 species
CUUGCCCCAGGCUACCUGCCUCCCAGCUGCAAAAGCAACUAUGGCUUUCUUUGUUCCCCCACCUGUGGAGUCAGCACACCAGAUAGAUUGACGCGCUGCCCCAAGUUCUGGCCAGGAGACUUCUCCCUCAGUUCAAAUUGUUACAAAAUUCAGCUGGAGAUUUCCUUCUCCCUGUGGCCUUUUCCCAGCACCUUUGGCCAUCCUCCCAAAGCGCCUCUGUGAGGCCAGGCAAAAACAGCUUGCCAGGGGACCCAGCGAGCUCCCACGGCUUUUCCCACUGCUUCCUCUACCCCUGUAUUUCACUGGCUUUCUAAAUUUACUCAGCUCCAGAUUCAAUGACUUCUGUUUGGGAGGAGUGAAAAAACAAAUCAGAAAUUGAGAAAAUCAUUGAGAAGUGAAUAACGAAGCAGGCUGCAAAUGGCUGCUCCCAGUGUUCAUUCAUCACUGAAUUUCAGCUGUAUCUACCAGUGCGGACAGAAGCAAGGAAAGGAAACCUUGAUGUCAUUACUCCUUCCGUACCCUGUGCACACCCAGAAAUAGACCUCCUAAUGCCUCCUCACUCCUGAGAAGACCUGGAUUCAAGCAAGUGGGCUAAUAGCACUCUGUUGCCAUCCAUUAUUUUCACAAUCCCCUUUUUGGUGCUCUUUCCUCUCUUUUUCUCCCUUUCCUCUAUCUCUUUCACGCUACUUUCACCCCUGGCAGUCUGCUUCCCCUUGUUCCUUCUCUUCUCAUUAGAGCUGCGUGCCACCACCUCUAUUUAAGCUGAUUCAAACACAGACAUCGCAGAAGCCAAGCAGGUAAUGUCGAU